AAGACCUUGCACUUUUGGAGCGGCCGAUGUCUGAUUAGCUAGUUGGUGGGGUAAUGGCCUACCAAAGCUUCGAUCAGUAGCUGGUCUGAGAGGACGGCCAGCCACACUGGGACUGAGACACGGCCCAGACUCCUACGGGAGGCAGCAGUGGGGAAUUUUGGACAAUGGGGGCAACCCUGAUCCAGCCAUGCCGCGUGAGUGAAGAAGGCCUUCGGGUUGUAAAGCUCUUUCAGCCGGAACGAAACGGUUACGGUUAAUACCCGUGACUACUGACGGUACCGGAAGAAGAAGCACCGGCUAACUACGUGCCAGCAGCCGCGGUAAUACGUAGGGUGCAAGCGUUAAUCGGAAUUACUGGGCGUAAAGCGUGCGCAGGUGGUUUUGUAAGUCAGAUGUGAAAUCCCCGGGCUUAACCUGGGAACU
rnacentral:rRNA from 1 species